rnacentral:rRNA from 1 species
GNNGGCUUCCAGUAUUUACAACUUCAUCAACCCUGUGAACAUACCUAUAACGUUGCCUCGGCGGGAACAGACGGCCCCGUAACACGGGCCGCCCCCGCCAGAGGACCCCCUAACUCUGUUUCUAUAAUGUUUCUUCUGAGUAAACAAGCAAAUAAAUUAAAACUUUCAACAACGGAUCUCUUGGCUCUGGCAUCGAUGAAGAACGCAGCGAAAUGCGAUAAGUAAUGUGAAUUGCAGAAUUCAGUGAAUCAUCGAAUCUUUGAACGCACAUUGCGCCCGCCAGUAUUCUGGCGGGCAUGCCUGUUCGAGCGUCAUUACAACCCUCAGGCCCCCGGGCCUGGCGUUGGGGAUCGGCGGAAGCCCCCUGCGGGCACAACGCCGUCCCCCAAAUACAGUGGCGGUCCCGCCGCAGCUUCCAUUGCGUAGUAGCUAACACCUCGCAACUGGAGAGCGGCGCGGCCACGCCGUAAAACACCCAACUUCUGAAUGUUGACCUCGAAUCAGGUAGGAAUACCCGCUGAACUUAAGCAUAUCAAUAAGCGGAGAAAANU